rnacentral:rRNA from 1 species
UGCCAGCCGCCGCGGUAAUACGGAGGGUGCAAGCGUUAAUCGGAAUUACUGGGCGUAAAGCGCGCGUAGGUGGUUUGGUCAGUCAGAUGUGAAAGCCCCGGGCUCAACCUGGGAACUGCAUCUGAUACUGCCAGACUUGAGUACAGUAGAGGGGUGUGGAAUUUCCUGUGUAGCGGUGAAAUGCGUAGAUAUAGGAAGGAACACCAGUGGCGAAGGCGACACCCUGGACUGAUACUGACACUGAGGUGCGAAAGCGUGGGUAGCAAACAGGAUUAGAUA